UAUAACAUGCAANUNGAGNGAAUCAAUAGGAGCUUGNUCCUGUUGNUUAGCGGCGGACGGGUGAGUAACACGUGGGCAACCUGCNUGUAAGACUGGGAUAACACCGGGAAACCGGUGNUAAUACCGGAUAAUCCUUUUCCUCUCAUGAGGAAAAGCUGAAAGUCGGUUUCGGCUGACACUUACAGAUGGGCCCGCGGCGCAUUAGNUAGUUGGUGAGGUAACGGCUCACCAAGGCGACGAUGCGUAGCCGACCUGAGAGGGUGAUCGNCCACACUGGGACUGAGACACGGCCCAGACUCCUACGGGAGGCAGCAGUAGGGAAUCUUCCACAAUGGACGAAAGUCUGAUGGAGCAACGCCGCGNGAGCGAUGAAGGCCUUCGGGUCGUAAAGCUCUNUUGUUAGGGAAGAACAAGUACCGGAGUAACUGCCGGUACCUUGACGGUACCUAACCAGAAAGCCACGGCUAACUACGUGCCAGCAGCCGCGGUAAUACGUAGGUGGCAAGCGUUGUCCGGAAUUAUUGGGCGUAAAGCGCGCGCAGGCGGUCCUUUAAGUCUGAUGUGAAAGCCCACGGCUCAACCGUGGAGGGUCAUUGGAAACUGGGGGACUUGAGUGCAGAAGAGGAAAGCGGAAUUCCCACGUGUAGCGGUGAAAUGCGUAGAGAUGUGGAGGAACACCAGUGGCGAAGGCGGCUUUCUGGUCUGUAACUGACNCNAAGGCGGCAAGCGUGGGA
rnacentral:rRNA from 1 species